rnacentral:hammerhead_ribozyme from 1 species
ACCCAGCUUUCGAGUUCCAAAUAGGACGAAAUGCGUGUCUUGGAU